rnacentral:rRNA from 1 species
CCUACGGGUGGCAGCAGUGGGGAAUAUUGGGCAAUGGAGGCAACUCUGACCCAGCAACGCCGCGUGAGUGAUGAAGGUCUUCGGAUUGUAAAACUCUUUAAGUGGGGACGAAGAAAGUGACUGUACCCACAGAAUAAGCAUCGGCUAACUCCGUGCCAGCAGCCGCGGUAAUACGGAGGAUGCGAGCGUUAUCCGGAUUUAUUGGGUUUAAAGGGUGCGCAGGCGGAGGUGCAAGUCAGCGGUCAAAUUGCGGGGCUCAACCCCGUACUGCCGUUGAAACUGCAUCCCUUGAGUGCGCGAGAAGUAUGCGGAAUGCGUGGUGUAGCGGUGAAAUGCAUAGAUAUCACGCAGAACUCCGAUUGCGAAGGCAGCAUACCGGCGCGCAACUGACGCUCAUGCACGAAAGCGUGGGUAUCGAACAGGAUUAGAUACCCUUGUAGUC